CCUACGGGGGGCAGCAGUGGGGAAUAUUGCGCAAUGGGCGAAAGCCUGACGCAGCGACGCCGCGUGAGGGAUGAAGGUCUUCGGAUCGUAAACCUCUGUCAGCAGGGAAGAACGGUCACUGUGCUAAUCAGCAGUGAAUUGACGGUACCUGCAAAGGAAGCACCGGCUAACUCCGUGCCAGCAGCCGCGGUAAUACGGAGGGUGCGAGCGUUAAUCGGAAUUACUGGGCGUAAAGCGCUCGUAGGCGGUAUGUCAAGUCAAGGGUGAAAGCCCCGGGCUCAACGUGGGAACUGCCUUUGAAACUGGCAAACUGGAGUGUGUGAGAGGAUAGUGGAAUUCCAGGUGUAGGAGUGAAAUCCGUAGAUAUCUGGAGGAACAUCAGUGGCGAAGGCGACUAUCUGGCACAUAACUGACGCUGAGGAGCGAAAGCGUGGGUAGCAAACAGGAUUAGAUACCCGGGUAGUC
rnacentral:rRNA from 1 species